rnacentral:tRNA from 1 species
GAUUAAAUGGCUGAAGUUAGGCUAUAGACUGUAAAUCUAUUUAUGAGAAUUUAUUCUCUUUAAUCA